GAUUAACGCUGGCGGCGCGCCUAAUACAUGCAAGUCGAGCGAGAAGACGUAGCAAUACGUUUGUAAAGCGGCGAACGGGUGAGGAAUACAUGGGUAACCUACCCUUGAGUGGGGAAUAACUAGCCGAAAGGUUAGCUAAUACCGCGUACGCUCCUUGGACUUCGGUUCAGGGAGGAAAGCGCUACCGUGGGUAGCGCGCUCUUGGAUGGGCUCAUGUCCUAUCAGCUUGUUGGUGAGGUAACGGCUCACCAAGGCUUCGACGGGUAGCUGGUCUGAGAGGACGAUCAGCCACACUGGCACUGCGACACGGGCCAGACUCCUACGGGAGGCAGCAGUAAGGAAUAUUGCGCAAUGGGCGAAAGCCUGACGCAGCGACGCCGCGUGGGGGAUGAAGGUCUUCGGAUUGUAAACCCCUUUCGGGAGGGAAGAUGGAAUGGGGUAACCCAUUUGGACGGUACCUCCAGAAGCAGCCACGGCUAACUUCGUG
rnacentral:rRNA from 1 species